UGAAAAUGGCUAUGAUAAGGACUGAUGA
rnacentral:piRNA from 1 species